UAGGGAAUCUUCGGCAAUGGACGAAAGUCUGACCGAGCAACGCCGCGUGAGUGAAGAAGGUUUUCGGAUCGUAAAACUCUGUUGUUAGAGAAGAACAAGGACGUUAGUAACUGAACGUCCCCUGACGGUAUCUAACCAGAAAGCCACGGCUAACUACGUGCCAGCAGCCGCGGUAAUACGUAGGUGGCAAGCGUUGUCCGGAUUUAUUGGGCGUAAAGCGAGCGCAGGCGGUUUCUUAAGUCUGAUGUGAAAGCCCCCGGCUCAACCGGGGAGGGUCAUUGGAAACUGGGAGACUUGAGUGCAGAAGAGGAGAGUGGAAUUCCAUGUGUAGCGGUGAAAUGCGUAGAUAUAUGGAGGAACACCAGUGGCGAAGGCGGCUCUCUGGUCUGUAACUGACGCUGAGUCCCGAAAGCGUGGGGAGCAAACAGG
rnacentral:rRNA from 1 species